rnacentral:rRNA from 1 species
AUGAGGCGCCGCAUUGAAGAUCGAACGAUGGCAAGGCACGGGGACGCCGAUGAGGAUGAGCCAGGAGCGCACAUGCUCUUGCCCGGAAGGAAUUUUGCAAAUGAAUCAGUGUGUGCCAUGAAGAACAAGCAACGAUACCGUGAAAGUGACAUGCCAGUGAAACUGACAUUCCAAUCCUUAAAGGAGGUCACAAACAACUUUGCCGACAAACUUGGCAGUGGUGCAUCUGCGGAAGUUUACAGGGGAGAGUUCAAUGGAGAAGUGAUUGCCGUAAAGAAACUGCCAUUCAGGAUUGGGAUUGAUGAGAAGCAAUUCCAGAACGAAUACGAACACCUUAAGAGGCUCAAGCAUCCUAAUAUCGUGCGGCUAGUGGGCUUCUGUGAUGAAACAGAGCAUGCAUUUGUCGAGUACAAAGGGAAAACAAUAAUUGCCGAAGAAAUACAUAGGGCACUCUGCCUCGAAUGCCUGCCCAAGGGACCCCUUAGUGACUAUCUUCGUGAAAAAUAUACUGGACGUAGUUGGCACACACGGUUCCAGAUAAUCAACGGGAUGUGUGAGGGUUUGAAAUAUAUUCAUGAAGUUUCCGUUGUGCAUUUGGAUAUAAAGCCUGGUAAUAUAUUGCUAGAUGCAGAAAUGAUACCCAAAAUUGCGGAUUUUGGAAUAUCAAGGCUAUUGGUCGAAGAAUGCAUCAGAGAGGCAACUCAGUUAGGGACAAUUGGAUACAUACCAAGGGAGUUCAUAGACAAUGAAGUUAUCUCAAGAGAGUUUGACAUCUUUAGCUUAGGGGUUACGAUUAUGAAGAUAUUGACAGAACCAAUGGACUACUGGAACAUUUCUUACAUGAAUGACAAGGAAUGUAUUGAGCAUGUACACGACAACUGGAGGAAAAGGUUUGAGGAGAUACCACGGUAUCUAUGGCUUGAAGAAUAUUGUAAACAAGUAAGAACUUGUAUUGAGAUCGCACUACAAUGUAUGGAUAUUGAGCGACUUAAUAGGCCUUCGAUGAAUCAUAUUGUCAGUAAGCUGAUUCCAAUACGAAGGAUAGGGGUACGUCGUGGGCGCGCUACAGCCGCUCAUUAUAUGACAUCUAGUUUAAAAGUAGAUUAUACGUCUGCCAAGUUUUCAACGGACUUAUCGUUGCCGAUAGACAUCAACGAGAUGAUAGACACCCCUCAGAUGCCUUCACUAGGUUGGUGCUAG